UCAGACCUCAUAUUUCACUCCCUUUCUCUUAAUUUCUCUCCGAGAAAUCUCAAAACUUAGAGAUUUUUUUAUUUCCCAGAAAUCUCAGGAAUCACAACCUUCACCCGUAAUCAAAACCCAGAGAUCUCUUUAGUUGAAAAUGUAUAAAAUCAAAUCAAACCCAGAAAUAUCGAUCUAAAACCUAGAAAAUCAAUUUUGUUCCUGAAAUCGAAAAUCGAUUCAUCUGAUUGUUGAUGCUUUGUUGAUUUUCACGAGUUUAUUUUUCUCAGGAAUCUAAGGUUUCAAAAUAUCUUGAUCUAUAUCAGCAUUUGGGUUUCUGUCUAAGGUUUCAGCUCAUUCUAAUCUGAUUUUGUGUUUGAAAUUGGUACUUUCACUGUUUAAAUCUGGUAUGACUUUGAAAUAUGGGUUUUUUUCCAAUUUUAUUUUUUAGGUCUUUGAUUAAUUUAGUUUUUCUAUUGGCUCUUCAAAGGGAAGGAAACAAAGAUAGAGCAAGAAGAUUGAAAUAAGUUAUGCCAAGGGAAUCACACCUUUGUUUCAAACUGUAACUCCUUGGUUAAACCAGCAUUUUUGGUUAAACUGCAAAUCCUACAUAUAUUAAUUAUUCAUUGGCUAUUGCUUUGUGCUCUCGGCCGAAGUCCUGAGGAUGACCGAGAUCAUAUGGAAGCGAGGUUGGACCUUGAUGGUCCUUUACUUGGAGGCCUGUUCUGAAUGGCUUGUGGUUUGUAAUAGCCUGAGAGGGUUUAAAAUUCCGGAAUUACAUAUGCAAUUGAUUUAUUCUGAUAGUAUUAUGUAGUGCAGAUCUUCAGGAAGUUGACUAGGGGUGUCAGAGGCUAUGUUCAGAAGAAAAUAUAAUUUACUGCAGGUAAGCUACAAGCUAAGGAUCUACUUGUCCUUACUGGAAGAAUUUUCAUCAUUUGUUUUAAUAAUCAGUUGUUGGAAGCCUUAGAUGGAGAAUACUAACAGGUGGUAAACCAUAAAUGAAUAAGUUGUUGCUGGUGUCCAACACUGUUGAAGAAGAACCAGAGUAUCACUUGAAGUCACUCCACAAUACUCCAAAGUCCUGUCCCUAAAGCUGAAAAAGUCUGAGGUGCUACCGCUCUUGCAUCUUUCAUGGGAAAUUGGAUCCUAAGGAUCAACUCGAUUGAGGAUGGACAGAAUUUACCUACAGGAGACAAUCAAACUAAGACACUAUAUUCCGAUCACAUAGGACAAAGCUUUGGAAUAUGAAACAAUGGGAGGCCGUAAGGAAUGGUCAUAUAUAAUUAUUCUCCACAAUCACUAUCGUCACCUCCACCUCUACCAUAAUGAUUUCGAUGUUCACCAGCAAACCAUCCUUUAUUCAACUCCAGUACCACCACUAUUUUCGCUAUCAUAUUAACCUCCAAUAGCAGAUUAGCAGACCCCCACUCCAUUACCACCACCAUCCCUGCAAUAACCACCAUGUUCAACUCCAGCACCAUAGCCAGAACCAGUACCAGAAACACUGCUAAAACCACCUCCACUACAUAUCAUAGCUUGUACCAUGUUCAACUCCAACACCACUAGCAGAACAACCUCCUCUACCAGAUUCAUGCUCGACGAGAAUGAAACAUUCACGCUACAACUUUUUGCUGAUAAUGAGACAAUAUGCUUUGUUGUUGGCUAAGUACCUUGCGAUGCAGACAAGGCCCGGGAUUGGACUGCUGGAUAGAUGUGCUAUGUUACAAAUUGUUGUGUAGCAUGCGACGGUGUUCAUCUACCUAGUGUGCUGAGCUUCCUCCAAAAGAUGGUGCAAUAGAGGUCAUAUUAGAGGACUAUCACAGGCGUGCUUCAAGUUUGUUGAGUAUAGCUACCAUGUCUGCUUGUUGUCAGGUUUCCAUACCACUGGGACUUCAAGCUCUUUACAAUAAAAUGCAAGCAACUAUCCGUGUCGAUCCUACUGCAAAGAAAACUGAGAAGGCAGCUCCCACGAUGCACAAGAGGCCUUUUGGAUCGUUACAAGUGGAGAAUCAAAUGCAACUCGUUUUUGGAUGUUAGAACAUUGACUGGAGGCAAAUCAACUUUUAAACCCGUUUGUUACUAUCAAGCCAAAUUUUGUUACUGCCAACUCACUUGUGAUAUGAUCUACAACUAUGGACCCUGUGUAAUAACAGGUGACGGUGAAGCUAAACCAACUGUACAAGGAAGUAAAAGAUGUAUAUGCGACAACAGAUGGACGGAUCUCACGCAAAGUAAGCACUUUUUUGGUGUAAUAAUUUUUGUAGUUCCAAGUUAUUUGUUUGAUCUUCGACCAUUAAGGCAUUCCUUUAGGUUUGAAUGUAAAUUAUGCCGAAAAGAAUGUUGUAAGACUAUUAUAAAAAUCAAGAUUGAUCAACAGGGGUUUGUAAUACAGGAGUUUCAAAUAUACAGACUUUAAUUUAUUAUUAUUUUUUGGUUCUCA